GUGCUCACUUCAGCACAUAAACUAAACCUGGACGGAUACAGAGAUUAAUGUGACCCCUGCGCAAGGAUGACACGUAAACUUGUGAAGCAUUCCAUACUUUU
rnacentral:snRNA from 1 species